UGCCAGCCGCCGCGGUAACACGUAGGUGGCAGGCGUUAUCCGGAAUUAUUGGGCGUAAAGCGCACGCAGGCGGUCGGUCAAGUCUGAUGUGAAAGCUCUCGGCUUAACUGAGAGAGGUCGUUGGAAACUGAUCGGCUUGAGGCAAUGAGAGGGGUGUGGAAUUCCAGGUGUAGUGGUGGAAUGCGUAGAUAUCGCGGGGAAUACCCGUGGCGAAGGCGGCUCUCUGGUCCAUUUCUGACGCUGAGGUGCGAAAGCUAGGGUAGCGAACGGGAUUAGAUA
rnacentral:rRNA from 1 species